rnacentral:snRNA from 1 species
GGAACUGUGAGGGUGAUCUGGCUGCAACGUCUGUCACCCCAUUGAUUGCCAGGUUUGAUUCUGCUGAUCUGGCUGGCAGGGUGGGUCACCCGUUCCUCCCUCACCGCUCCAUGUGCAUCCCUCCCGAGGCUGCACGCUGGGUUGAAGAGGACGACCACCCUGACAGAGGAGGACGUUCCUCAGUCAAGGGACAUGAGUAGCUGCACUUCCUGCUGGAACCUCCAGACAAGCUCUCAAAGAACACCAGGCACCGGGGCCCCAGUGUCAGGCACACGGAUCUAAUUAAAGGAGAUGUGGUCAGAGUAGCAGGUAUUAAAAAUU